CGGCAGCUUUGUUAGCCGGUACUCAGUCAGUUUCGUGUUGAACGUUGAUGUGUGAACAGAACUAGUCUGAGCCCUGCCAACCCCAUUAGUACACGGCGGUAGUGAGUGUCAGUGUUAUCAUCAAAAACAGAGAUUUUGUUCUCUCGCGGUGAGGUUACAGUUACUGUACAAGUCAUCGAGUAUUCACACUCGUUUAGCUGUUUCUUAGUGUGUAGUUCCUAUCUCUAUCUCUCUCUCUAUCUAUCCGUCUCUCUCUCUUCGACUCAGUUUUGCAAGUGAAACCAUCAGUGCUGAUUGUUGUUGUUCAGUGUGUGGGCAAUUGAUUGAUUGAUUGAGAAAUUUUGUGAGAAAUCGAGAGAAGAUCACCAAGGCCAUGGAAUCACAAGACGGAAGCACCGGACCGGCUGAGGUGCCUAAUGAUCCUGGGAAAAUGUUCAUCGGAGGGCUGAGUUGGCAGACUAGUCCAGGUAAGCUACAUUAUCAUCCUGCAAUGGGGAGACAUAUGUACUAGACUACUGAGU